GAAUUUCGAAAUUUUUGGUGUAGUUUCCAUGGCAACAUAGUAGUUCCAAUGAUCACCAAAAUCAUCCAACACCUGUAUAUAGUGGGCACCUACAUUGUAUUAAAAUAUAAUGAUUCUGAGAUAAAGCAUAUCCAAACAGUUCACCAAAACAAAAAACUGGAUUUUUUCACAUUUGUUCUGUUUCCAUGGUAACGGUAGCCAUCUUGAACCAUUCCAUGCUUCCUGCAACUCUGCACCUGGGGGUCCUUACUAUAGUAGAGUUCCAUCAACAUUGGUCCAUUGGAUUUCGAGAAAUCACCUGGACAAAAUUUGUUGCAAGAAAAAUAAUAACUAGAAUUGCCAUUGCAAGCAAUAGCGGAUGUCACCCUUCCCCUAUUGCCACUAACAGGCAG
rnacentral:lncRNA from 1 species